rnacentral:rRNA from 1 species
GAUGAACGCUGGCGGCGUGCCUAAUACAUGCAAGUCGAGCGAACAGAUGAGGAGCUUGCUUCUCUGACGUUAGCGGCGGACGGGUGAGGAACACGUGGAUAACCUACCUAUAAGACUGGGAUAACUUCGGGAAACCGGAGCUAAUACCGGAUAAUAUAUUGAACCGCAUGGUUCAAUAGUGAAAGACGGUUUUGCUGUCACUUAUAGAUGGAUCCGCGCCGCAUUAGCUAGUUGGUAAGGUAACGGCUUACCAAGGCAACGAUGCGUAGCCGACCUGAGAGGGUGAUCGGCCACACUGGAACUGAGACACGGUCCAGACUCCUACGGGAGGCAGCAGUAGGGAAUCUUCCGCAAUGGGCGAAAGCCUGACGGAGCAACGCCGCGUGAGUGAUGAAGGUCUUCGGAUCGUAAAACUCUGUUAUUAGGGAAGAACAAAUGUGUAAGUAACUAUGCACGUCUUGACGGUACCUAAUCAGAAAGCCACGGCUAACUACGUG